rnacentral:rRNA from 1 species
AUGAAGAACAAGGAUAAGCUCAGUAAGCUGACAUCAGCUGGUCGUGUGGCCGGCAAAGGCUUGUCGACAAAAUGGUCGUCAUACUAUAACACUGGUGGGCGAAAGGAGAAAAAGACCAGCUCGGAAAGCCAGGCGCGCGAGGUUCAAGAACUCAGGGCACAGGUGGCGCGGAUUCCGGAGAUUGUCCAAGAGCAAGUGCAACAACAACUCGGAGCGACGAUCACCGCUAUUGUGCCUACCUUGAUCCAGGGGAUUAGUGCGUGGAUUGUGGGCGGCCAACAGGGGCCGCCCCCGAUUCCUAGCUUCACGGCCAGCAACUCGCAGAACGCGAUGGCUGGGCCAUUGGUGUCUCCGGUGGAGGCGGCAUUGGUGUCUCCGACGCCGGCACGGGAGCUUAAUGCACCCGGGUGUACGCCGGCCGGCACCUCUGCAGCAAGCGGCCCCUCCGUCAAUUGCACGCCCGCCGUUGGCGGUGCCUCGACAUUAGCCGAGCUCGACGCCAUCAUCAUGGUAACUAAUUAA